UUUUUCUUAGCAUGUCAGAACGUUGGGUAACAUUAUCUCCAUUUUAAACAAAAGAAAACUAAAGCUCUGAGAAGGAAAAUGUCUUCCUCAAAUUCAAAUACAUUCAGCUGGCUGCAGUUAUAUUUUGCUCACUGUUAUAGCCUCAGGAUCUUUCAGAGUCACUGGAAUAUGUCUUGCACCUGUUCUGCUCUGGCGCAGGAUUGUUGAAGAUGGCAGAGGAGAAAUGGACGUGCCCAGAAGAGGAGCAGAGCCCCACACCACCGUGAAGGGCUUGGGCAUCAGCGAUCAUGAUUUCUCUGCAUCUCCUCACGGUGCUCAACGAAUAUAAAACAGCAGCAGUUCCCAGCUCAGAGACCCCACCCUGAAAUAUUCCCCACCAAAGUCAAGCGGGCUGCAAAUAACCUGAGGGAGCAAUGAUUUCCCUUCCCGAAGCCCUCGGGAUCAAUUAGAACUAAUCAAAGAUUUGGCCCAAGAAUUAUAAAUUGGAAUUGAUAUAAAGUACUUCACUUCCAAACACCUCAUUCUUCCCAAAAUGAUGAUUCAAAUAAUUGACAUUCUGAAUGAGACUGAAAAAUGUGCUUUGGGAAGAAGAUGAGAUUCCUUUGCCGAACAAUAGAUUCAGUAUUUUUGGAAUGACUGAGAACAACAAAGAUAAAAUACCCAAACCUACCUCAUGAGUCAGUCAAGCUAAAAAACCAGACGUUGCCAUUAUCCAAGUUAAGCGAACAAUGCUUUCUUAAUUAUUUGUUCUAAUCAGUCAAAGGUCAGCAUGACCUAGGAUCUGACUCUAAGUCUGCUGAAGAGAAAACACCUUAAAA